AAAACAGAAACCCUAAAGGAAUUUGUACAUACAUCAGACCGACGCAGGAGAACAAGAUGAUGAAACACACGCAAACGAUUCUCGCAAAGUUUUGUGGAAGAGCGUAUUCGACCAUCGCCUCUUCCCGACUGUCCUCGAGCGUCAAGAAUGGGUGGAAGGAGCAGGACUGCUUGGUUCUUUAUGGACUAUUUCUUGGUGGAUUUUUUACCCAUGGUUUCAAAAAUGUUUACAAGAGAAGAGAGCAUUGGCACAAAGUAGACAGAAUGCAAAACGAGCACGUCAAGCGUUCAAAGGAGCUGU